UACGUAGGUGGCAAGCGUUAUCCGGAAUUAUUGGGCGUAAAGAGCGCGCAGGUGGUUGAUUAAGUCUGAUGUGAAAGCCCACGGCUUAACCGUGGAGGCUCAUUGGAAACUGGUCGACUUGAGUGCAGAAGAGGGAAGUGGAAUUCCAUGUGUAGCGGUGAAAUGCGUAGAGAUAUGGAGGAACACCAGUGGCGAAGGCGGCUUCCUGGUCUGUAACUGACACUGAGGCGCGAAAGCGUGGGGAGCAAACAGGAUUAGA
rnacentral:rRNA from 1 species